UAUAUAUAUAUAUUUCAGUCAGUCAUCAUUGCAAUCGAUAAAACGAGGGUCGUAAGGAUUUUAACAUCCCAACAUUACGAGCAGGAUCUUUACCACUGAGCCAUGGGAAGUAGUUUAGAAAAUGUAAAUACAUCAAAUUCAUUCACAUUAUCACAUUUGGCAGACACUUGGCAGGUAAGCAAGAAUGGUAGUAAAAAAAAAAAAAAAAGUAAGUAAGAGAGAAAGAAAGUAUGUAAGGUAAGUAAGUAAGUAAGUUAGAAAGAAAGAAAGUAUGUAAGGUAAGUAAGUUAGAAAGAAAGAAAGAAAGAAAGAAAAAGUAUGUUAAGGUAAGUAAGUUAGAAAGAAAGAAAUUAAGUAAGUAAGUAAGGUAAGUAAGUAGGCAAGUUAAAAAGUAAGUAAGUAAGUAAGGGAAGUACGUUAGAAAGAAGUAUGUAAGUAAGGUAAGUAAGUUAGAAAGAAAGAAAGUAAGUAAGGUAAGUAAGUUAGAAAGAAAGAAAGAAAGUAAGGUAAGUAAGUUAGAAAGAAAGUAAGUAAGUAAGUAAGUAAGGUAAGUAAGUAGAAAGAAAGAAAGUAAG
ensembl:lncRNA